CAAGUAAAUAAAUAAAUUAAAUAAAAGUCCACUUUCAAAGUUUAAUAUUACAGACCCAAAUAAAUCAAAAUUGCCUACAAACCGAACCCAAUUAAAAAAUAGCCCAAACCCAAAUCUCUACCCAAACCUAAUUUUAACAUUAACCCAGUACCCAGCUAUAAUGGCCUAAAUGGCCCAAAUUUUUCUAGAAACCUUAGGGUUUCUGGAUUCUUCUGGCGUCGUAGCAGUCAGUAGCUUCAGCACAUGCACGCGCCUCCAAGCCUCUCACGCCAGAUCCACGUGCGCUUCUUCCAGGCUGGCUUCGCACCUGCAACAGAAAUACGGCAAAGCAGAAACGGAUACCUGCAGCAACAAAAAGAAUAACAGAAAAUGAUAGGGGAAGGGAUUCUGUAAAUUUUCUUGAUUUUUAUUUCUUACUUUUCGGCUAUAAAAAGGCCGUCUCAAACACUGUAAACGAUUACUUACACACACAGGCAUAUUGAAUACAAAAAAUAGAAAAAUAUUCAGGGAAAUAAAAAAGAGAUUCGAAAGGUGAUUUUCUGAUUUUUUUUUCUUUUGUUUCCUUCGAUUGGUUUUGAUUGCAAACAAAAAGAGAAAAGAAAAGGAGGAGUUAGAAGAUAAAAACUCUUACCUAGUGGCCGAUCUUCCUUCUACUUCGUCGCAAUCAGAAUCGAAGGGAAAUUGAAGGCAUGAAACGAAGCUAAAGGAGAGGGGAUUGAUUAGGUUUUUGCUUUAAGUGGCUGAUU
rnacentral:lncRNA from 1 species